rnacentral:rRNA from 1 species
GGCUACCACAUCUAAGGAAGGCAGCAGGCGCGUAAAUUACCCAAUCCUGACUCAGGGAGGUAGUGACNAGAAAUAACGGACCGAGGCCCUCGGGCUUCGGGAUUGCAAUGAGCCGAAUUUACACCCCUUAGCGAGGAUCGAUUGGAGGGCAAGUCUGGUGCCAGCAGCCGCGGUAAUUCCAGCUCCAAUAGCGUAUAUUAAAGUUGUUGCAGUUAAAAAGCUCGUAGUUGGAUUUCUGGGAGGGUGCCAAUGUCCGCCGACGUGCGUGCGCAGCGGCGCCCUUCCAUCCUUCUGUUAACGCCUCUUGGCAUUCAUUUGCUGGUGGCGGGCUCAGAUAUUUUACCUCGAGAAAAUUAGAGUGUUUCAGGCAGGCUAGGCCGGAAUACAUUAGCAUGGAAUAAUGGAAUAGGACUACGGUCUCUUUGUUGGUUUGAGGGACUGCAGUAAUGAUUAAUAGGGAUAGUUGGGGGCAUUAGUAUUUAAUUGUCAGAGGUGGAAUUCUCGGAUUUGUU